GUAUCAUGGCUCAGGAUGAACGCUAGCUACAGGCUUAACACAUGCAAGUCGAGGGGCGAGCGGGGAUUGAAGCUUGCUUCAAUUGCCGGCGACCGGCGCACGGGUGAGUAACGCGUAUCCAACCUUCCGUACACUCAGGGAUAGCCUUUCGAAAGAGAGAUUAAUACCUGAUGGUAUGAUGAGAUUGCAUGGUAUCAUCAUUAAAGAUUUAUACGGUGUACGAUGGGG
rnacentral:rRNA from 1 species